UACAGAGGGUGCAAGCGUUGUCCGGAAUCACUGGGCGUAAAGGCGCGUAGGCGGCCCGGUAAGUAGGGGGUGAAAUCCUGCGGCUUAACCGCAGGGCUGCCUUCUAAACUGUCGGGCUCGAGCACGGUAGAGGCAGAUGGAAUUCCCGGUGUAGCGGUGGAAUGCGUAGAGAUCGGGAAGAACAUCAGUGGCGAAGGCGGUCUGCUGGGCCGUUGCUGACGCUGAGG
rnacentral:rRNA from 1 species